GCUGGGGCUCUUGCGACCGGAGGAGGGUCUGUGAGGACCACCCCCCGCCCCCGCAGACCCGGGGCCCGGCGCUCUGUCUUAGCGUGGCUCCUUUUGUCCUUGUACUGUCUGCCACAGUGCACAGUGCAGAGCCUGCCGGAGCCCUGGUCACUCGUGGGGGUCGUUGGGGUACCAGCUACACCGGGUCUGGGUGAUGCAUCUUAUCUUGCCUGUGUGCCUGAGCUAGUUAAAAGCCCCGCGGUUUUUAGCGCGCACCCGGCUCUGAUUGAGAGCCAGACACUGUGUUUAGCUAGGACUCUGUCAGCUGCCCCCAGAAAGGUUCAUUUAAAAGCCUGUGGUCGGAAAACUCCCUGUAUUCAGGAAAAGCUUGGCGGCCUGCUCCCCUCCCCCGUGUAGCUUUAUCUUGCUGGCUGUCCCUACCGUUUUGAAACCCACUACCAAACCAGGAAAGCGGUGUUUCCGUUCCCAGGGCUCAUAGUAGGUCGGUUGCACUCGGAGCACAGGUUUUCUCUAUUCGCUUUGUUAAUGAGACUCUCCUGUUGAAAAAGGGCUGCUUCUGUGGCUUCCUGGUUUGUUUGUUUGUUUGUUUAUUUAUUUAUUUAUUUAUUUAUUUAUUUAUUUAUUUUGAAAACAAAACCAACACGGAAUUGGAGGUCGGAGGGCUCCUUUUAACCUUGGGUUUGGUGGGAUUUUCUUCUUCUUUCUCUUACUGUGGCAGUUCCUUCCAGUCUGCUGCUCCCUCCCUCCUGUGGCAGACAGUGACUCUCUCCACUCUCUUCCCAGAUGUAAAUCUGUUCUUUGUAUUCUCACCUCCCCGGGGCACCCUGAUCCACCCUCCGUCUACAGUCAGUCCGAGUUUUUGGGGAGGUUUUAGGAAACCCGGACACACAAGUUUGUACACACAAGCUCUUCCCGGUAAUUAUUGGUUGUGUGGGUUUUGAACUACGUUGACAGCCGUAGGGCACUGUCAGACUGAGCAUGUUUACGAGGAAAAAAACAACGAAUGCAAUGGGAAGCCUAAUUUACUGCAAACUCAGUACUGGAUGGGGGCACCUGUCUUAAGAUCAAGUGACCUCCAGAAAAAGUUGCUUAAAAUGAAGCCUCGGGUGGAGAUGUAGCACAGGUGGUCGUGUGCUUGCCUGGCAUGGAGAGAAACCCGAGUUUGGUCGCCAGCAGUGUGCCAGGACGCCUGUGAUCCCGUUUCUCUGGAGAACUAUCAGGUGGGGGCUUAAGGUCACAUUCUGCCACAUCUCCAGUUGAAGGGUGGUUUGGUCUACAUGAGGUCCUGUCUCCAAAAGUACAGUAAACCUGGGAAGGGGAUAGAAGUCUGACUGGACCCCAGUUUGGGCUUUCUAUGCAGUUUUCAUAGGCAACAGACAGCUUGGCUCUGAGGGCAGUGUGGCUCUCCUGGGGAAUCCGUUGGGAAACAGAUGCCCUCUUUCCUCACAGGUUGAGGUAGCUGAAAGAACAGUCCUGAUUUAAGUUGCUUGCCUGGAGGUCUAGGGGACCAGCCCAGCGGCAGGGACCUGCUUCGAAUCGGAGCUCACACUUUCAUUCAUUCGGGGUCUGUGGGGACAGUCUUAAUGACUUCCUUUCACUGACCCUCACAUCUUAAAAAUUACAUUUAUUACUGAGUGUGUGUGUGUGUGUGUGUGCGCGCGCGUGCGGGAGUGUGUCCACGCGGAGGUUGGAGGACAGCUUUCCAGAAUUGAUUCUCCUGUGGAGUGAGUGUGUGUGUGUGUGUGUGUGUGCAUGCGUGUGCGUGCGUGUGCGUGCAUGCGGGCAUGCGUCCACGCGGAGGUUGGAGGACAGCUUUCCAGAAUUGAUUCUCCUGUGGAGUGAGUGUGUGUGUGUGUGUGUGUGUGUGCAUGCGUGUGCAUGCGUGUGCGUGAGUGCGGACAUGCGUCCACGCGGAGGUUGGAGGACAGCUUUUCAGAAUUGAUUCUCCUGUGGAGUGAGUGGGUCCUGGGGAUAGAACCUAAGACUUGGCACACAUACCUUUACCUCCUGAGUCACCACACCAGCCCCUCGUUGAACUUUUUAACUAAAAAGAUUAGGUAACCAUGUUUGAACAUGUAAAUUUUAAUUACUUAUUAAAAAGAAGAAAAAGAAAUACUGCUUUUGAGCACUAAGACACCAGUCACACACUCCUUCCAAAUACUGAGGAAGCAGGCUGCUUCAGGCUUCCCAGUAGACUCCACACAGCCAGUGGCAUCGUGACAGGGACUUCUCUGACUUACACUUGGGGGUAAAAGUCAGGAUAUAAGAGGCCAGGGCCCACCAUUUAGGCACCUGGGUCAGGUUCAAGCCAGAUUUGAAGCCUCUGUUUGCCUGCAUUUCUAAGGGGAUUUUUUUUUUUUUUUUUUUUUUUGAGCCCGGGUCUCACUAGGUAGCUCUGGGUGUGUCCUGGAACUCACUAUUUAGACCAGGCUAGCCUUGAAUUCAUAGCCCUGCCUCUGCCUCCCAAGGGCUGGGUUUAAAGGCACGUGGCACUUUCUAGUUUUGAUAGUUAUCUCUGUUGAUGGUGAGGGGACAUGACAUUGGCGCUCUGGGUCUGGCUCUGCAAACGUUUUUGACGGUACAAUCUUUACUUCACAUACUCAAAAGCAGCUGUGUGUUUAGUCACUAAGCUGUGCUGUUUUAAGUCUGUCUCUCUAAGGGGUUCCCCAAAGGAGGCCAUUAUGGUUGGUUGUCUUGGGGAGUGUUAUCUCUCGUCCUUGUCUUGUUAGAGCUGUUUCCUACCAGUGUGUAUUGCUCACUUCAGCUACUGGAGCGGUAGCCGUUGUCAGUGCCUGGUUCCCGCCUCAGAGUUAGAAGAGCUUGAGGGGACCACCUCUCUCACUCGAAGUUCUGUAAGACACCAGGAGUACCUUUUAUUUAUUUAUUUAUUUUAAAUUGUGUGCACAGGUGUUUUGUCUGCAUGUCUGUCUGUCUGUGCCCCACACAUGUACAGUACCCAAUGCAGGCCAGACGAGGACAUGGAUCCCUCUGGACUGGAAUUAUAGAUACUCGCUAGCUGUGGUGGUGUUGGGGCUGGGAAUUGAACCGAGGUCCUCUAGAAGUGCUCUUAACCACUGAGCCAUUGCUUCAACCCCCAAAUACGGGGAUUUAAGUCGGGUCUUCCAGCCAAGUUCCGAGUUUUCUGUCACAUCUUCUAUGUAUACAUGAGGACAUGGUCAUCAAGUUGUGAGACUUCACAGGUUGCCCUUCCCCAGUGUCUGCCUCAGACUCUGGCAACUGCUUGUCCUCCCUCUUAAAAAGAGGACCCCCCCCCCCCCCCACCAAGGGAAGGUGAAGUAACACGGGAGAAGACCAGAAACGUGAUUGUUGUGGCUGCUGUACCCACCUCCACUCUCUACCCUCUCAGGGAUCCUCUCACCCUUUUCUUGCCCUUAAGCUGCCCUUUGACCUCUUAGCCUUUCUCACAUCCUUCCUUCCAUCUGGUUGGCUCACGGUGACAUCAGUGGCAGGGAGCCACAGUCUUCCCUUGUACAGAGCAAUGUCUGAGCACUGUCAGAGGGCACAGGCUCUGUAGCUGGGUAGAGAGAAGGGAUGCUGAGGGACGGAACCCCCGGGGGAGCACCGUGCUUGGGCUUGUCUGCUGCUCGUCAUUAAGAUUACUGCAACACCAGGUGUGUGGCGCACCAGGUGUUUAAUCCCAGAGGCAGAGAGAGGCACAGACAUCUCUGUGAGCUCAAGGCCUUGCAAAAAAAACAAAACAAAACAAAACAAAACAAAAAAAGGAGGCUGAGGCAGGAGAAUAGUGUCCGAGGCCAGCCUGGGUGGCACAGAGAUAGAUACCUGUGUCCAAAAAAACCCCAUGGCAAACCAGUAAAGAGUGAAAUUGCCAGAAUUACAACAUGUAUAAUAAUUUUUUUAAAGGCUCAUGUUUGUAUAAAGGAAAGAUAUUGGGGCUAUAGAUGAUUGGGGGAGCACCUACCCGGGAGCACUUACUUCGAAGAAAGAGAAGGAGAGAGACAGACUCUGUGUGUGUGUGUGUGUGUGUGUGUGUGUGUGUGUGUGUGUGUGUAAUAGGAUGAGGGCAGCAAGCACCUUAUGCUACUCAGAGUUCUCUGUGCUGCGGUUAAUUAGUCCGCUCUGGAAGGCUUUUGGAGCAAGGAAUAGGAUGAGCACAAUCCCGCUGCUUUGUUGCGGCUGCCACAGAGAGAGGUGGCAAUCCUCUUAGAUGACAAAGCCCUACAUGGAGAGGCAGAUGCAUCCCUGGACUGUGCCACCCUUGGGUUCAGAGAAAAGCCUCUAGACCCAAAGAAAAGUAAAUCUGUUUGUGGGCCUGGAAAGAACAGAACCAGACAGGGCUUCCUUCGCCCACACCUCUGCCCUCCUCUCAUUCCUCCGGGAAUUCCCAACACUGCGACCCCUUUAAUGCAGUCCCCCAUGUGGUGGUCAUCUCCAACUCAUUCUGUUGGUACUCCAUAACUAAUUUCGCUAUUGUUAGGAGUCAUAAUGUAGAUAUCGGAUGUGCGACACCCCAACGAGGUCGAAAUCCACAGAUGGAGAACCACUGUCCCAGCACCUUGGCCAUAGAAAUAAGAGCAGCUGGCCGGUGCAGUAUCAGAUGGAAGCGUGAAGUCAGUUGUCCGGUGUGCAGAAAGGCUGAAAAGUUAGGGGCCAGCUGAUCCCUGCCAGCUGAAUAGAAGAUGGUCGUAAAGAAGUUGAGAGGUUACCGUGGGGAUGGAUAUGAUGGUUCACACCUUUAAACCCAGCAUUUAGGAGGCAGCGGUGGGUGGAUCUCUGAGUUUGAAGCCAGCCUGGUCUGUAUAGGGAGUUCCAGGCCAGCCAGGACCAUAAAGUGAGACCCUGCCUCACAGAAACACCUCUAGGGGGACUGAGGAGGGAAGAUGGGCGUUCUAACAGGGUAGUGGGUGUGUGUCUCUGUUAGAUCUUGGUUUUGAUGUGGUCCUGCUUCUGGGGCUCUACCACUGUGGUUGUGUCUUUGGGUUAAUGGCUUAGUGUCUUUGAGCCUCGGGUUGGUAUUCACAGCACUGUCUGUCUGCCCCUUGCGCUUGCCUUGGGGAGUCUGUGGCUUGCACCACAAGCAGUGCACUUUGACUGCCGAACUGUUACUAAGUAUUACUCCUGCCAUGUUAAAAAAAUAAUAAUCAAUUUUAUGAUUCUUUUCUUAGUUUAUUUGAGAGAGAGUCUCAAUGUGGAGCCCCAGCUGGGUUGGAACUUGCUUGUAGAGCAGGCUAGACUCACACUUAGAGAUCUAGCCACGAUCCUCUCUUUAAGAGAUCACUGUUUUCCCUGUCUGUCCACCUCUUGUGAGUUGGAGGAAAAAAAAAAGGCUUAGGUGGGUUUUGACCCAACCACCACUAUCCUGGCACAUGUGUGUGCAUACACACACAACACACACAAGCAUGCAUACAUAUGCUUGCACAUACAUGAACACGUAUUUGAGCAUGUACAGGUAUGCACACACACUUUUAAUUUUUUUCCUCCCAAAGAGAAAGUGAGUUCUGGAGAGGGCUAAGUAAGUGACUUUUUCAAGGAGGGACUUUGGAGCUGUUAGUGACACAGCAGUGGGUGUACCCCCUCUUCUGUCUGCAGUGCGCCCUUUCCUACAGAACUGACUUGGCCCAUCUUUGCCGUUUCUGGUCAUAUGUGACUCUCCUUGCCAAAGCUUCGUCCAGCCAGGCUGACACUUUAGCUUGACAAUUUCCCACAGUGUCUGUUGCUGUUGGAGCUGCCUCACCUGAAGCAGGGCCUCCUGGUCUUGCUCUGUAAUGAAAGCUGUCUUCUCUCCCCCUUCCUCCUGCAGGCAUUGAAUCCUUGGGUUUUUUGUUUUUUUUUUUAAAGAUUUAUUUAUUAUAUAUGUAAGUACAGUGUAGCUGUUUCUAGACACUCAGAAGAGGGCGUCAGAUCUCAUUACAGAUGGUUGUGAGCCACCAUGUGGUUGCUGGGGAAUUGAACUCAGGACUUCUGGAAGAGCAGUCGGUGCUCUUAACCACUGAGCCAUCUCUCCAGCCCUACGUCCUUGGUUUUGAAGCCCAUACAUUCUGGUAUCUUGGGGUUGAUGUUAUCAGCUUGGUUGUUUAAUUUCUCACCAUUCACUCUAACAGAUUCUUAGACACUUUUCUGGUGCAGGGGACUGAACUUCCUUGUGAAUGCCCAGAGAGCUCUCUUACGCUGAGAUGGGGUUUCACGUAGCCCAGACCGGCCUCAGACUUGUUAAGCAGCCUGAGCUGGCCUUGAACUCCCGAUCCUUCUUCCUCCACCUCUGGAGUGCUGGGAUUACAGGCAUCCACCACCAUGCUCCUAGACAGUUUUCAUAGCUGCUUUGUACGGCUGCUUGUCCCUGUCGUCUUUCCUGCAGGGUGCCCUGUUCCACACUUGGUGUCAUCGGCAGCUGCUUGGGAUGCUCUUGUCAUUCACUGUGUUGUCCUCCUGUUGCCCUUGGCUCUGCUUCCAGCCACCCAGAUCUUGUUGUGAGGUAAACCCACCAGAGACCACCGCACAGACACAUUAAAGCCGAGAGGAAAAUCUCGAGCCUUCCAGCUCUUUGUCUUUCCUGGUUCACACACAUCAGUUAGCACGAAGUGGGUGGAGCCACAGAAGCCUCUAACAUGGCGGGGACCUGUUGCAUUCUAAAACAAAACCAUCACACAUGUGUCACCAGAUUCUCUUCCUCCCGGUUUAUUUCAUUUCACAUUCCCGAGCUCAAACUUGAUGUCUUUUGGGGUUAUACACAGCUGAGGGAUGUCCUGGGCUAGGGUCUUGUUGCCACAUGCUGUGCCUGCAGAAGGACCUACACCUGUCCCCCACAUCCCUUCUGGCAGGUUCUGCUAUUGCCAGGCAGGGAUGGGGUUCCUGGAUGCAAAGGGGGCAAGUCAAAAAGACACAGAGAAGCUUCCCAGGGCCUAAGCACCCCGUCUUUCCAACUAAUCUUGGGGAGUAUCCCCUCCCCUGCACCCUGUUGUUGUUAUAAUUGGUUUAUGCUGUAUCAGUUAAUGAUAGCUUACCCUUAAGUGUGUGCCCGUGAUGAUGCUUGGUCUGCAGUUCAUCUCAGUCUUCCAUGUCUCUUUCUGUUUAGAGAGAGGGCCUCGAGCAGUAGUAGAUCUCCUGCCUCAGCCUUUGGAGUGCUGGGGAUUACAGGUGUGCACCACUGUUAUUGUUCCUGGGGGUUACAGGUGUGCACCACUGUUAUUGUUCCUGGGGGUUACAGGUGUGCACCACUGUUAUUGUUCCUGGGGGUUACAGGUGUGCACCACUGUUAUUGUUCCUAGAGAUUACAUGUGUGCACCACUGUUCCUGUUCCUGGGGGUUACAGGAGUGCACCACUAUUUCUGUUUUCUCUGGUCUGUGCUUGGCCAGGGUGACCACAGGUGUUAGCAAACAUAGGGUCUGGGGUUUGCUGUUUUCAGACUCUUGUUCUGUCUUUGAUUGCCAGGGUUUUAGACAUGUUCUGUAUAGCAGGGGAUGUGUCACCUUCCUGCUAGGUGCAUCAGUGUACCUGUAGUAGAUGUGACCAGGACAGUAGAGCGCAAGUACCUGGCUUCUUUGUAUAUACCUGCAGCAGCCACAACAGGAUGUACAGACUCCUACAUCAGUCUCCCACCCUAGCAACUGACUCUACAGGGAUGAGACACAGCCCCCCCCCCCCCAUUUUUAGAAGGCUUGACAAACACAGCGUGGUUCAUUUUGAGUUCCCCUGUGUUAGAAGAAGUGAGGGCUAGUAGGGCAGGACAGGAGUCAGUGGAUGGAGGAACAGGUUUAAACUGGAUUCUGUGUGUGACCUGUUUCUAUAGUAUCUAUCUACAUACACUAUGAAUCUGCCUUUUGUGGGCCCCAGAUGCCAGGUCAAUCUCUGUCCUCUCAGCUCAGCUGUUGGAGGGAAAGCUCCUAGCUGGGUUGGACGGAUUGCUGUUUUGGGGGCGCUCAGAAGCUGAACCCUGGUAGUCCAUAGGCUAGGAAAGCUUACCAGAGAAACUGUCAUUUUGGAGAAAGCAUCGAGUUUGGGGAUUUCAGAAGCCUCCCCUCCCCUCUGUCAGUGGUCCGAAUAUCUCCUAGAGUUGUGCCUCACUCGAGAGCAAAACCUCCUGGUCCAUGAUCUCAGAAACUGAGGUAGCAGCAUGACAGUAAACCCUGCACUUAGGGGGGAGGAGGCAGGAGGAUCAGGAAUUCAAGGCUAUCCUCAGCCACCCAGUGAGUUCAGCGCUAGCCUGGGCUACUUCAUUCCCAGUUCUAUUCCUGUUCAAACCCAGCUUCAUCUCUACCCUGAAGGAUUUCAGAGACCUCUCCCUUUCCUAUAGCUCUCCUUUCUAGUCUUUUGUCCCUUUGGAAAAGAACAUUUUACUCCCUGCCACACACUUUCUGUGUGGCCUCCUUUGUCCCUUCCCUCUGUGGCUCCCUCCACUCUUGCCACCUGGAGGUGGUUCAGUGUCCUGCUGUGGCCUUGACAGCUCCUAUCCCCAGUGACACAAUUCUCACAGUGGGAAGCCUUGUGGUCCUAGCACCUUGUCUUAUCAAAAGAGUGUUCCAGCUGCUUGUAACUCAGACUCAGUGAGCGUUAGAUCUGAGAUUCUUCCUGGCCCCCCCCCGGUUGAGAUUUUUAAUCAUUUUAUAUGCAGCCCGUCUUACGUACAUCUGUGUUACUGUUUUUUUGGUUUUGUUUUGUUUGACGAUUUCUUUGCUAUGCACAACCUAUCAUAAGUGUUGACCCAACACUGAAGACUGCGGAGACAGCACAAUGGUUAAACUGCUCAGCCUGCAGGUAAAGGGAACCUAUGUAACCACCAUAAAGCAGGUAGCUGGCCUGUGAUUCCGGCCUCGGGCACUGAUGAGAUCAAGAAAGUAAGCUGGCCAGAGAGACCAGAGUUUCCCGUGAGCUCUUGGUUUGAUUCGGAGAUGCCACAAGGUGGGAGGGCUGUGGGGAAGAUUCCUAACAUCCACCUCAGACCUGUACACACACGUGUGCCAUAUGUGAUGACAAAAUACAUACGUGCACUCUGCCACAGAUGGGUACGUGAAAAGGAAGGUCAUUGCCAACACUCACAAAACUUUACUUAAAAGCCUCGGGCACGUGUGUGGAUUUCAAGUCUGAGAACUACACAGUGGGGGGCAUGGCCUCUCAUCGUGUUGGAAGUAAGUUUAUCUUUUAAUGUUGGGCUACGCUCACCACUGUCCUGGGGCAGGUGUGACUGUGGGCCACAGAUUGGACAAGUUCAGAAGGAUGUGGUCUGAUUUCUUUGAAUUGAUUAUUGGAGGCUGUCUUAGUCAGGGUUUCUAUUCCUGCACAAAACAUCCUGACCAAGAAGCAAGUUGGAGAGGAAAGGAUUUAUUCAGCUUACACUUCCACAUUGCUGUUCAUCAUCAAAGGAAGUCAGGACUGGAACUCAAGCAGGUCAGGAAGCAGGAGCUGAUGCAGAGGCCAUGGAGGGAUGUUGCUCACUGGCUUGCUUCCCCUGGCUUGCUCAGCUUGCUUUCUUAUAGAACCCAGGACUACCAGCCCAGGGAUGGCACCACCCACAAAGGGUUGGGCCCUCCCCCCUUGAUCACUAAUUGAGAAAAUGCCUUGCAGCUGGAUCUCAUGGAGGCAUUUCCUCAAGGGAGGCUCCUUUCUGUGUGAUAACUCCAGCUUGUGUCAAGUUGACACACAAAACCAGCCAGUACAGGGGCUGUGAAAACUGAGCCUUCUCCAUGUUUUGGUCCCCAGCACACCAGUGAAUCAGGUCUCUGAUGGGCCUCCAUCCUGAUCCUGCGCCAGCCAUUGAGACCUUCCACCUCCUUUAGUGUCUGGGCUAAGUCUCCUUCACAGAAGUGUGGUUCCCUCCACCUCAAACGAAUUCAGAUCUCUACUGAUCUUUCUGAAAGAAAAACAAACAGGAAAAAAAAAACAAAACAAAACAAAACAACCUCUAAUCCAGGGCUGGGGCUAUGAUGGCUCAGUGGGUGAGAGCGCAAACGUGAAGAGCAUCCCCAGCAUGCUCGUUACAAAACUGUAUGGCCACACGUGCUCGUAAUCCUGAUGCUGAGACAAGACUUACUUGGGCUUGCUGGCUGGCAGCCUAGCUCUUGGUUCACUGAGAGACCCCCAUGUCAAGGCAGUAAGGUACCAGGGGUAUAGCAGAGUCUCACACAUCUUCCUCUGGCCUUUGCACAUGCAGAUUCAGUCAUAUGCACACUCCAGAUGGACACACACACACACACACUUCAAGUCCACUGUGGUGGCACACACCUAUAAUCCUAGCAUGUGGGAGGUGGAGACAGGAGGGCAGGGGUUCAAUGUCAUCCUCAGCUGCAUAGGGAGUUCAGGGCUAGCCUGGGCUAUAAGAGACCUCACAAGUCUAUAAGCACAAAACAAUUGUGAUUACUGUGUGGAGCUCCGCAAGCCUUUGCUUUCUGUGUUAGGCACAUGCUGCUAGCACCCAGUGACUUAACCUUCACUGUCCUCUGGCCUAGAUGUCACCUUCCUUUUACCACCUGCCCAAACUGUUAAUCUCUAGGAGCCCUUUUCACCCCCGAGCCUGUGGGUGUUCUUUCCAAUUGUGGUCAACUCCCCUCUCUGUGUACUAUGUUGUUCCUGACCCCUAAUUUUCCAGAUAAAAAUAGCCCAGGCCAGCCUGGUCUUAAACUAUUUUUAACUCCAAGUACUGGGAGAAAGGUCUGCUUUGAAGGUGAAAUGAAGCUCUGUGCCAGUCCCUAUGACAGGAGCCAGGCAGGGUUCUAAUGGCCUGCCCCUUGCAGAGGGGUGGCCUGUGUGCUUGCCUCCUCGGGCCCCUAUUCCCCUAGUGCCUGAGACUCUGCAGGGCAUGCUUGUGUCCCCAAAGCUCGCAGCGCUUAAGGUAUGAUGUUAUGUUGAAAAUGACCUCAGACAUAGGUUACAAGGUGACCCCCCAAGAGAGAGGUACACCAUCAGAGUUAACUUCAACACGUGACAUCACUCUGUGGUGUUGAUAUGUUUUUAAAACUGUCACGCCCAGUCGCUAAGCAGUAGGGCAAGCUGAAGAGUUUAUUUAACGGGGCUGGAGCAUUGGGUGUUCUGAGGACCUGCGAUCGAUUCUCAGCACAGCACCCACCUUGUGCAGCUCACAGCCAAUGCAACUCCAGCUCUGGGGAACCUGAUGUCCCUCUGGCGACCCCGUUAAAGGGUUUUUUAACAAAGGACGUGGCCUUACCUAGGCAUGACCAUCUCUCUCAGGGUCAGGGAGCCUGGUUCCGAGCGCGUGUUCUGGAUUCCAGUGUUUACCUCACUUCUGAAGCAGCUGGCGGGGCUGCGUGUGGCAGGAACCCAACUGGGCAUUUACUUCAUUUUGACUUUGAUAAACUUUUUACCCUGAAACAUUUCACCUAUUAGUGCUGAGGAGAUGCGGUAAAUCUCCAGCCCCAGUUAGCCUGUUCAAGGAAAAUGCAACUCAGUUAUAUAUUUAUAAGCUGUACUCCUCUAUUGGGCAGAUAGGCCUCUACACCACUUUCUUCCCCAGCUAUGAAGUCCCUGCCACUUGCAGUUUCUCCAGGCCAUGUGCUUCCCUUCUGUCUUCCAGCUUCUCUCCCUCUGUCCUCCUCCAUCUGUCCUCUCCUUCUUUUCCUGUCUCGCCUGGGAAACCUGCCUCCUCAUUUUUGCCCAGUGAUCAGCUAUUUGUCAUCUUUAUUAGCCAGUCAGAUAAUUGAGGGAAAUUCCUCUACACCUCCGUGGUUGAAAGGCGAUGUUGCCUCUUGCAGAGGACCUGGGUUCAGUUCCCAGUACCCACAAGCCUAUUAUUCCAGUUUCAGAGCAUCUGACAUGCUCUUCUGGCCUUAUGGGUCAAGGUACUCACAUGGUGUACAUACAUUUAUGCCAGCAAGACACUCACACACAAUCACUAAAUAAACUAUAUAUAUAAAGUUCCACCUUAAUUGUGCAUAAUUUUGACCUUGAAACUGCGUUCAUUCUCUGAGUACUGAGUUGUUGAGGCAGUUAUCCACAGAGCAAGUCAUUUCUGUGGUAACAACAGUUACCUGGACAGUGUCUCACUGUGCAGCUUAUACUAGCCUUGGACUCACGUCUUUUUGUGCCUUAGUCUCGAAUACUGGCAUUACAGGCAUGCGCUGCCAUAAUUACCAUAAACCUGCCGGGUGUGGUAGCGCAUGCCUUUAAUCCUAGCACUUGACAGAGGCAGGCAGAUUUUUGAGUUGGAGGCCAGCCUGGUCUACAGAGUGAGUUCCAGGACAGCCAGGACUACACAGAGAAACCCUGUCUCGAAAAACGAAAAAAAAAAAAAAAUAUAUAUAUAUAUAUAUGUAUGUAUAUAUAUAAUUGGCAUAAACCAUCUUGAGUAAAGGUGUAUAUAGAGACUGAGGGUGUUUUUGUUUGUUUGUUUUUGUUUUUUUAAGGAUUUAUUUAUUUAUUAUAUGUAAGUACACUGUAGCUGUCUUCAGACACCCCAGAAGAUCUUGUUACCAAUGGUUGUGAGCCAUCAUGUUGAUGCUGGGAUUUGAACUCAGGACCUCUGGAAGAGCAGCCAGUGCUCUUAUCCACUGAGCCAUCUCUCGCCAGCCCCAAAUAUGUUUUACUUUUGGGUUUGAUCCUACAAGGGAUGGGCACCGCAGGACAACUCGUCUGAAUUUUUAUAGAUUAAAAAGCUUUAGUAGUUAUCACAGUGUGCCUGAGCUAAGAUACCCUUACUAACUAAACAAAACUGAGACUCAUGCCACUCUCCUCUGCUUAUGUUAAAGGAAGUUCCUGUGAUUGUUAGCUCGGAAGCAUCCCUUGGAAGUUUGGGUGGAAAAGGUCUUUAAAACGUGUAGGAACCAUUUUGUUCUCUGGGCUGGUUUCCAGGGACUGUGUUCAGUGUUACACAGUAUGGAAAGUGUUCAGUCCUGCUGAUGUCUCCCCCACCCCCCCAUCAUUGUCGGGGAAAGGGAGGGUACCAGCCAAGAGGCCCUGCCGGUUCCUAAGCAGCUUCAGCUAUGCAUACUCGUUUUAAAGACAGUGUCUCCCAUUGGGACCUGACCUUGCCAGUUGGGUUAGUGAGGCUGGCCAGUGAGCCCAAGAAUCUACUGUUUUCAGCGCCCCCCCCCCAUCUUUUUAUAUGGGUGUUGGGGAUUGAACUCACACCUCCAUGGCAGGUGCUUUACUAACUUAGCUAUUUCCUGAGCCCUGGAGUCAGAAUUCUUGGUUGGAUUUCAGUAGAACAUAAAGCUUUAUUUUUUUUAAAUAUAUUUUUUUAAGAUUUAUUUAUUUAUUAUAUGUAAGUACACUGUAGCUGUCUUCAGACACACCAGAAGAGGGCGUCAGAUCUUGUUACGGGUGGUUGUGAGCCACCAUAUGGUUGCUGGGAUUUGAACUCAUGACCUUUAGAAGAGCAGUCUGUGCUUUUACCCGUUGAGCCAUCUCACCAGCCCAAAGCUUUAUUUUUAACUAAGCCUAUCUGUUGUUGCUUGGGCAGUUGGCCCAUGGCCUGGGCCUGGUUGAGGGGAAAGCUGGUCCCUGGUUAAGGGCAUUGUAUACACACACAGCCUGUUACAGUAUGGGUGCCAGGCAAAGAACGCUGGAUCUCGGAUCCCCUCUCUGGCCCUCCCCCUUCACGGCUUCAAGUCAGGUGGCAGUACAUGUUCUAUUGGUAAUGGUAAAUUUAUUAGGUCUGUAUUCAAAAACUGAAUAUCGCAGACAUUAAUGUUGAAAGCUAAUCACUUGUACAGAUAAGCUGUGGUGUGUGUGUGUAUGUCUGUGUGGGGGUGUCAGGUCCUGAUUGGAUGCCCUAGGUCUUUGAUAAACAUGUAGGCUUGAUUGUAAUUGUCAGCGAACGUAUUUUUAAAGAAUUAUUUUUUGAAUGUUUACCUGCAUGUAUGUAUGUAUGUUGUGCACUGUGGACAUGCUUGGUGCCCUUGACGCCCAGAAGAGUCCUGGCAGCUUGAGUUAUAGACAGUUGUGAGCUGCCAUUUAGGUUUGGGGACUGGAACUCAGCAGGUGUUCUUAACCACUGAGGGAUCCCAGCCCUUAAGGUAGGUAGGUAGGUAGGUUGGUUGGUUGGUUUAUUUAUUGGUUGUUGUUGGUUUUGUUUGUUUGUUUGUUUGAGACAGGGUUUCUCUGUGUAGCCCUGGCUGUCCUGGAGCUCACUCUGUAGACCAGGCUGGCCUCAAACUCAGAAAUCCGCCUGCCUCUGCCUCCCAAGUGCUGGGAUUAAAGGCAUGCACCACCACGGUCCAGCCCCUAAGGUUUAUUUUAAGGUGUGUAGACUCCUACUCUGUUUUUGUUCCUUGCUGAGAAUCAAUCCCAGGGUCACACCCAGUCUGAGGAAGCUUUGGAAACUAAAUUAUAAAAUAAUGGCUGCUACUUUGGGGUAGCUUUGCCAUGUCCCACUCCGCCCCGCCCCCGUGUGACUUCUUUAGCCUUAGUCACACCUGCCAUUGGCUUAUUGUCAGACUUGUAGACUGACUUGAUGUUAAUUCAUAUGGUAACUGUUUUCUCUCAUCAAAAAAAAUUGCAUUUUGAGAAGCCUGUGUUACUUUGGACUUUAAGACAUUUCUUGUGGGACCAAGUUUGGUUUGAUUUUCUUUUAGUAUCUAUUCUUUAUAUAUAUAUAUAUUGUAUUUAUAUGAAUACACUGUAACUGUCUUCAGACACACCAGAAGAGGGCAUCAGGUCCCAUUACAGAUAGCUGUGAGCUACCAUGUGGGUGCUGGGAAUUGAACUCAGGACCUCUGGAAGAGCAGUUGGUGUUCUUAACCACUGAGCCAUCUCUCCAGCCCAAGAAUCCAUUCUUUUAAACUAUGCGUAUGUAUGUGCAAAUGAGUGUUGGUGCCCAGGGGUCCAAUCCCCUUGGAGCUAGAGUUGUAAGUGGUUGUGAACUGCCUAACAUGGAAACUUGAGUUCAGGUCCUCUGGAAGAACAGUACUCGCCCUUCACUGAUGAGCUCUGUCUCUAGCCCCUAGUUGGGUUUGUGUGUGUCUCUUUGUUUGUUUGUUGUGCUUUGUACAGGAGAUAACAAUCGCCUGGUCUUGAACUUAAGUAUAUAGCUGAGGCUGGCCUUGAACUUGGGGUGGUUCUCCUGCUUCAUCCUUCUGAGUGGGAGCCACUGUGCCCACUUGGUCUGCACAGUGGAAACGACAGACCUGGAAGGUGUAGUCUACUCUGCUUACGUAUUUUAAAAAUAGCUUUUGUUGACAAUGGGUAAAGCUGUGUCAUCUGUUUACAAAACAGCUCUUUAGGCCAUGUGUGCAUAUAUAUUUAUUUGUUGUAGAAAUAUAUGCUAUAUACACGUUUGUGUGUGUGUGUGUGUGUGUGUGACAGUUAGUAUGGCCUUAGUCCUUUGUCUUUGGAGAUAUCACUUCUUUAGAAUUUGGAUAUUGCACGUGUGUAUUUCAGCUGUAGAAUCUUGCCUGUCACAGGGAAAGGUUGCUGCUUUGUGACUUUGUAAGGUUUACUAUUACUAUAAAUAUACCACUAAGCUGUAAACUGUAGGGAAAAAAAGGGAACUGAAAUGGCCAGUGGGCUGAUGGCCAGUUGUGGCAUCGGGAGACCUUAGUACUCAUUGUUAGGACAAAUAAACCUCAGCUUAUCACCUGGCCUGGCCUGUGCUCAUCCUGCAGUAACAGUGGGACAUUGAACACCAUGUCCCGAGCUGUGACUCAAGUCUCAGGAAACACAGAGGAUCAAAGUCAUGCAGAGUAGGAAUAGAUCUUGGCAGUUCUAGGGACUCCUUGGUAACAGUGAGUCAAAUAUCUGCAUUGAUGGGACUCUGUACUGGAGUUCAGAAGUAGAUACACACUCACAGGAUCAGUUGUGUGUGUGUGUGUGUGUGUGUGUGUGUGUGUGUCUGGAUGAAAGCUCAAACAGGCCUCAAACUUAAAUGUAGCCCAGGAUGACCCCAAACUUGUGGCAGUCCUCAGUUUCAGCCUCCAAAGUGCUGGUACAACAGAUGCGAGCCACCAUGCUUGGUUCAAUUGAUUUUUUUUUUUCUAUUUAAAAAAACUUUAUAUGUAUGGGUGUUUUACUGCCAUGUUAUGCUGGGUGCCCUCAGAGGUCAGGCUGGGCCAUUGGGUCCUCCGAGGGAACUGGAGUUAGUAACAAUUGUGAGUUUCUGUAUAGGUGCUGGAAAUUGAACUCAGGUCCUCUGCAAGAACAGUAAAUAAAUGUUCACUGAGCCACCUCUCCAGCCCAGAUUAUUCUUUUUUUUUUUAACUAAAAAAACAAGAAACCAAGACAAUUCAGUGCAGUGCAGUUUUUGUUAUGUCUCCUUCUGGUGGAUAAUUCUAGAGAGCCAUCUCCAUGGACACCUUGACC